CAUCAUUCCACUACAUGUAACUCACGUUGUUUCUGUUCUCUAAUGGCAGUUUUAAGAGUUUUAAGAGGCUGGUGGCACAAAGCCUACUUUUUCUGCAGAAAAGGGAAGACAACAAGCGGAGCUGACAGGGAUUGUCUCCUCAAAAAGUUCUCCCUUCUCUUUGACCAGUGCAACUCCUGUUACAGAAUGUAUAUCGUAAAGCAAAGAUACCACCACAAGUCACUCUGCAUGCAGGCAUGUCGGGGAAAAAACAGGCAGAGAGGAAGCAAACCACUGAGAUUCCAAUUCAGAAAGUACAAUGACCUCAAAUUCUCCAUCCCUUGAGUUGGGUCAUGUUGUCAGAUUUG